UCCCUAGUGGUCCAGUGGUUAGGACUCUGCCCGUCCACUGCAGGCGGCACAGGUUCGAUUCCUGGUCAGGGAA
rnacentral:tRNA from 1 species